CGCGCCGUAUUAGCUAGUUGGUAAGGUAACGGCUUACCAAGGCAACGAUACGUAGCCGACCUGAGAGGGUGAUCGGCCACACUGGAACUGAGACACGGUCCAGACUCCUACGGGAGGCAGCAGUAGGGAAUCUUCCGCAAUGGGCGAAAGCCUGACGGAGCAACGCCGCGUGAGUGAUGAAGGUCUUAGGAUCGUAAAACUCUGUUGUUAGGGAAGAACAAAUUUGUUAGUAACUGAACAAGUCUUGACGGUACCUAACCAGAAAGCCACGGCUAACUACGUGCCAGCAGCCGCGGUAAUACGUAGGUGGCAAGCGUUAUCCGGAAUUAUUGGGCGUAAAGCGCGCGUAGGCGGUUUCUUAAGUCUGAUGUGAAAGCCCACGGCUCAACCGUGGAGGGUCAUUGGAAACUGGGGAACUUGAGUGCAGAAGAGGAGAGUGGAAUUCCAUGUGUAGCGGUGAAAUGCGCAGAGAUAUGGAGGAACACCAGUGGCGAAGGCGGCUCUCUGGUCUGUAACUGACGCUGAUGUGCGAAAGCGUGGGGAUCAAACAGGAUUAGAUACCCUGGUAGUCCACGCCGUAAACGAUGAGUGCUAAGUGUUAGGGGGUUUCCGCCCCUUAGUGCUGCAGCUAACGCA
rnacentral:rRNA from 1 species